GUGGCGAGGUGGACGCCAUUUCGCCAUGUCGACGAACUUGAAAAUUCAAACUGCGCGCCCUCCGAUAAACAACCAAUAGCAACUAGACUUUCAACGCUGACACGUAGAGUGGAUAGAAAACGGAGCCACGUCAAACGGGCGUGAGUCAAAAGGCUCGUCAAUGCAAAGAAAUAUAAGACAAGUAAGUGGCUCUAGUUAUAUGUUGGCUACUUAAACGAGGCGACCCAACCGUUCAGUCUCAUUCGUUCGGCGACAUCCCUCCUCACUAAAUCAAGUGAAAUUAAAUUUGUUCGCGAUGGAAAACGACAGUCCCGUUUGUGUUUGCUGCCUGGCCCACUGCGUUUACUGCCAUCCAAGGACAAACUGAUAAUUUGAAAAAGAAUUGCAAGAUGUGGACGAUGUGGAUUUGAAACAGGUACAAUUUAAUUUAAACGAACUGCUGCAAUUGAUUACAAAAACGUUCAUGACUUUCUAAACGAGCUGCAAUGAAUUUCAACAUGGAAUCUCCCGGAAUCAUCCUGCGUCUUUGAAAAUCAUUCAAGUUACAUUUGAUUUUGGGUAUUUUGUUAUUAAAAAAUUGUAAAUGAAUUCGUGUCAGUUAUUUUCAUUCUUUGGUGAUGGGAGACAGAAGUGAAGGAAAGACUCCCGCUCAAUAAUUCUUUCCUCUACACGAAAAAUAAAUUGAUGACAAACUG